GAAACAUCCGAAGCCAUUAACCGACAGCGAUUGAAAGCUUGGAUAUGCUUCUUAGGGCGAUUGUGGAAAGCCGCUAGAGGUACUUAUCGAAGCUUGGAAACUUUACAGUUCUUCAAGAACUCAUUUUCUGGGAGCUACAAGUAAAGGGGUCGGACUGGUGAUAAAUAUGUGAUCCUUCUGCUGGCUUAUUUUUGCCUUGAAUGAUUGAUGAGCACAAUUUUAUGAGAUGGGUAUCGCUGCCCAAUUCAGGAGGUUAUGUCUCGUUGAAAAUCGGAGGUUGCUUAUGGUCAUUAGUGUGGCGAUUAUUAUUGCUGCUCUUUUACAGUGUUUUGCACUUCCUUACUGGAAAAGAUGGUCCCUGUCAACGGCUGAUGAGGGUUCAUUAGUUGUGCUAAUCAGCAAUGCCACCUUUUCAAAUAAUUUAAGACCAAGGCCAGUUAAUGUGUCUAAUAGUAUGGUAAAUGAUACUUAUCCCUCUGAUUUGGAUGAAGAAGUUGGAGAUGGGAAUGAAACAAAAGAAACAAGUACAGACAAUUUGUCACCAGCUAAGAGUGAACAUGGUGAACUCACAUUGAACAUUGGUGCAAUGCUUGGCAAGAGUUUGAUAAUGGGAUAUGAUGCAAGUACAGGUGACGAUUCUAUUCAAGCAACAGCUUUAGAAAUUGGACAUGGUAAUGUGCUGCAGGCUGAAAAAGUAGAUGACAAGGAAGCAGCCGCUGGUUUAACAUUUGGAGGAGUUCAAAUUAGAGCUGGCAUUGUGCCUGUUGUACUACCAGGAAUUUCUGCAAAGAAUGGGGGAAAAAUGGAUACAGAAUCGAGCACUUCUAAUGCAUUCUUCCCUGCCAAUGAAACUUCAGCGGAUAAUGUAAGAGGGAUUGCAGAAAUACAGCCCCAAAUUUCUGUGUCGAUCACUCAGAAAAAGAAUUCUCCACAGGAUAGUAUUUCCACAUUGAAGAGGGGGGACACACAACCAAUGUCAAUAUCCCAGAUGAAUUCACUAUUGCUUCACAAUCUUGUUUCAUCACAUUAUGUGAGGACAAAAUGGUAUUCUGUACGUGACCGUGAGCUUCUAUCUGCAAAAUUGAAGAUAGAGAAUGCUCCUAUUCUAAGGAGUCCUCCUGGACUUUAUGCUUCUGCUUUUCGAAAUGUUUCCAUUUUUAAAAGGAGUUAUGAGUUGAUGGAACGCAUGCUCAGAAUUUAUAUCUAUAAGGAAGGUGAAAAGCCCGUAUUUCAUCAGUCUAAGAUGAUAGGAAUAUAUGCAUCAGAAGGAUG
rnacentral:misc_RNA from 1 species